rnacentral:rRNA from 1 species
AGUGAACGCUGGCGGUAGGCCUAACACAUGCAAGUCGAACGGCAGCACAGAGGAGCUUGCUUUUCGAUUCAGCGGCGGACGGGUGAGUAAUGCCUAGGAAUCUGCCUGUUAGUGGGGGAUAACUCGGGGAAACUCGGGCUAAUACCGCAUACGUCCUACGGGAGAAAGUGGGGGAUCUUCGGACCUCCCGCUAACAGAUGAGCCUAGGUCGGAUUAGCCAGUAGGUGAGGUAAUGGCUCACCUAGGCGACGAUCCGUAACUGGUCUGAGAGGAUGAUCAGUCACACUGGAACUGAGACACGGUCCAGACUCCUACGGGAGGCAGCAGUGGGGAAUAUUGGACAAUGGGCGAAAGCCUGAUCCAGCCAUGCCGCGUGUGUGAAGAAGGUCUUCGGAUUGUAAAGCACUUUAAGUUGGGAGGAAGGGUAUUCACCUAAUACGUGGGUACUUUGACGUUACCAACAGAAUAAGCACCGGCUAACUCUGUGCCAGCCGCCGCCGUAAAAC